AAGGCCGGCUUUCUCAAGAAGAGAUAGAGAGGAUGGUCGAAGAAGCUGAAGAGUUUGCUGAGGAGGAUCGGAAAAUCAAGGAGCGCGUUGACACCCGAAACAGCCUCGAGACAUACGCCUACAACAUGAAGAACACGGUGACAGAUGACGACAAGCUGGCAAGCAAGCUCGCAGAUGACGACAAAAGGCAAAUUGAAGAGGCCGUCAAAGAAACUCUUGAUUGGCUAGACGAUAACCAAAACGCUGAGAAAGAAGAGUACGAAGAGAAGCUGAAGGACAUAGAGUCAGUUUGCAAUCCAAUAGUUUCCAGAGUCUAUCAGCAAG
rnacentral:lncRNA from 1 species